UAGUGGUUGGAAAGAUUUUUCGGUCUGGGAUGGGCUCGCGGCCUAUCAGCUUGUUGGUGAGGUAAUGGCUCACCAAGGCGUCGACGGGUAGCCGGCCUGAGAGGGUGACCGGCCACACUGGGACUGAGACACGGCCCAGACUCCUACGGGAGGCAGCAGUGGGGAAUAUUGCACAAUGGGCGGAAGCCUGAUGCAGCAACGCCGCGUGAGGGACGACGGCCUUCGGGUUGUAAACCUCUUUUAGCAAGGAAGAAGCGAAAGUGACGGUACUUGCAGAAAAAGCGCCGGCUAACUACGUGCCAGCAGCCGCGGUAAUACGUAGGGCGCAAGCGUUAUCCGGAAUUAUUGGGCGUAAAGAGCUCGUAGGCGGUUUGUCGCGUCUGCUGUGAAAACCCGAGGCUCAACCUCGGGCCUGCAGUGGGUACGGGCAGACUAGAGUGCGGUAGGGGAGAUUGGAAUUCCUGGUGUAGCGGUGGAAUGCGCAGAUAUCAGGAGGAACACCGAUGGCGAAGGCAGAUCUCUGGGCCGUAACUGACGCUGAGGAGCGAAAGGGUGGGGAGCAAACAGGCUUAGAUACCCUGGUAGUCCACCCCGUAAACGUUGGGAACUAGUUGUGGGGUCCAUUCCACGGAUUCCGUGACGCAGCUAACGCAUUAAGUUCCCCGCCUGGGGAGUACGGCCGCCAGGCUAAAACU
rnacentral:rRNA from 1 species